UAUUUCAGAUGAAGGAAAUGGACUGUGGAGGAAAAAUCCAAGCUUGAUUCUAUUGUAGCCUUUCCUCAGAAAGGUUGGCAGAAGCAUUAAGUGAUAGUCAUGAACCCAAACAUAAUCUUCCUCUGGACUGAUUAUUUCCAUGACCUUGUCAGCAAAUAUUUUAUUAGCUGAAACAUAGGCCUGCCAAAAAACACGUUCAAAGCGAUUACCAUGGUCUGGGCAAAUAGGCAACAUGUAGUGAAAAAGAGGCCAUAAGUGCUGUUUACAGAAUCCAAGAUAAAACUUCUUCUGCAGGUCUUGGGGUAGAAAUGUUGGGACACAGUUGAAAUUCUCAAGCAGUUUUUGGGAAAUUUCUUCCUGCUCACUAGCAUCUAUAUCAACCUUCAGAGACCCCACAUAAAUAACCUCAGUUUCAGGAGAAAAACCAUCCUUUAGUUGCAAUAAAAGCGAAUCUUCAUCCCAACUGAAGCACCACUUGGCAGUUCCUGGAUCCCUUUUAGCAUGUAAAGGUAACAUAUUUGCCACGAUAAUUUUCCGCUCACGACAAAUAGAUGAAGCAAUCUCUGAGUCCCCAUCAUUACUGCAAUAACCAUCCAAAUCUGAGAUAAUUCCAGGGACAGUCAUCACUCUAGGAAUAGAUCUUGGAGUAUGAGGAAUUUCCAACAGAUUCCCAGAAGCCAAAUCUAAAAUAUUCACACACGAUCUUGACACCAUCACUCAUUAAGAUAACAAACUUCCAACUACAAUUUGCUCACAGAAUCCCACACCUUACGGUUAAUAAACCGGUGACCGGAGACGUAUAGUUAGGUAUAAAUAAAAAAACCCGGCGAGUUCGGCUUGGCUAUGAGGUAUGGGGAAAAAAUGAUAAAAACUAAAAGGGCAGUUAAAGAGAUCGGAAAUGGAAGCUCUGUUGGAUUUUCAAUGGAAAUGGGAGGAAGGAUAGACAGACAGAGGGGAAGUGGUAAAUGCAAAGAAGAGAG
rnacentral:misc_RNA from 1 species